UACGUAGAAGACUAGUGUUAUUCAUCUUUAUUAGGUUUAAAGGGUACCUAGACGGUUUAACUAGUCCAAAAUAGGAUACGGUUUUACUAGAGUUAUAUAUAAGAAGGUGAGUAUUUGUGGAGUAGAGUUGAAAUUCUUUGAUACCAUGAGGACUGGUAACGGCGAAAGCAACCUUUUAUCUAAUAACUGACGUUGAGGGAUG
rnacentral:rRNA from 1 species